ACUUGCUUCAAUAGCACAUACUAAAAUUGGAACUAUACAGAGAAGAUUAGCAUGACCCCUGUGCAAGGAUGACACACAAAUUUGUAAAGCAUUCUGUAUUUUU